UAAUAUAAAUCAUAAAAGAAAGAAUACCCUAAACAACAACUAAUAAAACACAUAAAUAGAAUUUUGAGUUGGCCAAAGGCAUCCUGUUAAUUUGUGGUGACUUCUGGGUCUCAGUCGGUCUUGAAAUAGACUCGGCCAUCUACUUUCAUCAGUGUCGAUCGACACCAAAGGGUCAUUAUUGAUCGACACUCCUUCAUUUCUUCGACAGUUUUCUCUCGCGAGUUUGACAUACCAUUCUUCAGUGAAAUGA
rnacentral:lncRNA from 1 species